AACGACUCUCGGCAACGGAUAUCUCGGCUCUUGCAUCGAUGAAGAACGUAGCGAAAUGCGAUACUUGGUGUGAAUUGCAGAAUCCCGUGAACCAUCGAGUCUUUGAACGCAAGUUGCGCCCCAAGCCUUCUGGCCGAGGGCACGUCUGCCUGGGUGUCACAAA
rnacentral:rRNA from 1 species